rnacentral:tRNA from 1 species
GGGUACUCCAUGGCAUUCGCCGAGAUUUGACUUUUAAUCAGUAGGUCGCUGGUUCGAACCCAGCAGGGCUCACCA